rnacentral:rRNA from 1 species
UUUCCUACGGGGGGCAGCAGUGAGGAAUAUUGGUCAAUGGGCGCGAGCCUGAACCAGCCAAGUAGCGUGAAGGAUGACUGCCCUACGGGUUGUAAACUUCUUUUAUAAAGGAAUAAAGUGAGGCACGUGUGCCUUUUUGUAUGUACUUUAUGAAUAAGGAUCGGCUAACUCCGUGCCAGCAGCCGCGGUAAUACGGAGGAUCCGAGCGUUAUCCGGAUUUAUUGGGUUUAAAGGGUGCGUAGGCGGAUUUUUAAGUCAGCGGUAAAAUGUCCGGGCUCAACCCGGGCCGGCCGUUGAAACUGGGG